ACCAUCAAAACAUGUCUAAACCCAUUAAACUUACCACCCUGUGCACAAUAGCCCUUCUCCUCCUUUCUUCCUUAUCGUACGCCGUCGCACGUGUUCCACCCUCCGUUGGUACCAUCACUCCGGUUGAAACUCAUCACUCGAGAUGAAGAAGAAGAAGAGUGUUUGAUGAGAAGAACACUAGUUGCUCAUCUUGAUUAUAUUUAUACGCAAAAUAAGCAGCCGUGAAUUAUAAUAAUAUGUUAAUGAGAUUGAUUUUAUUUUGUGUGUUUUUGUCGAUUUGGUUAUCUCGAUCUGCCUCUAUUCUGUAGAAUUCAUUGGAUGAUUUUUGGUAAAUUGACGGCCGAAAAAGUUGGUGAUCGUGAUUUA